rnacentral:ribozyme from 14 species
AAGGGGAACAACCGGCGGUGUAACAAACCGGUUUGUUUAUUUGUUUGCAAUUUUGCCUCUUGUUUUUUCUUUUUUUGUUUGCUGCUCA